GGGGAGGGCAGAGCGUGUUGUGACGGAGAGCCCUGUUUGAGACAACCUGGAGAGGGUCAGCUCAGACAGGUUAGCGCAACAGUAACACUGACGGUGAGAGGAGGUGACAUAUGAUAAAUAGGUGUGUGAAUCCCGGGAAGACGACGAUAGGCUUUGUGAUUUUUUUCCUUUUGUCACCUUGACAAAGAAGAGGUAGUCCCAGAUGGAAUCUGCAAAGUAAGCAUCGUCUCACUGGAAACAGAGGAUAAGAAAGCAAUAAGUAUGAAAGGCUAAACUUGGUUUUCUGGGUCCCAGAUGUCAGAACAAUACCAGCUAAGACCAUCUAAACUUGAUUUUCUGGGUUCCAAAUGUCAGAACAAUACCAUCUAAGACCACCAUAACUUGGUUUUCUGGAUCCCAGAUGUCAGAACAAUACCAGCUAAGACCACCAUAACUUGGUUUUCUGGGACCCAGAUGUCAGAACAGUACCCGAUAAUAUCACCUAAGAGGUGAAAAUGUGAAAAGGUAUCGGACAGACAUCUUGUCCUCAGUUGACCCAGUGGGCUUACUGCUCAUGUCUCGCCUGGCUCGCGGACAAAGAGAGGGUGGAGGCUUAUCGCACAGAUCCGAUCAGCACAGCCAAGCCCCCGGCACAUCAACAGCACAAUCCCUCUCCAAAAAAAAGUGGAGGCGACCAUAACAAAGUGAACAACAGGACGCUUCAGAAGCCCAGGCGGUUUGCUAAGGGAACGGCAGCACUUUAAUUGUUUUCAGAGGGAUUUAGCCGUUAGCCGCGGAUUUCUGCUAGUCCCAGUCCUUCCUUCAUUACACCACAUUCUCCCAUCCCUGGCACUUGUUGACGUGGGCACACUGCCUUCGUCCCCCGUCCCCCACUUCCCUCUCCCAUUCUCCCAAUCCCCCAUACGCAGUGGGUUUCCUCUCCACUUGGCACAGAUGGGCGAAUCUAGCAGAUGUUUUAUCAGUUUUUUUCUCCCGCUCUCCUCUCGCAGAAAGGAUUUAGGUUGGAGAGUUAAUGAGGUGAUUUGCAUCUGUCUAAAGCUGUUUUCUGUUGAUUGUUUUGAGGGAAACCAGGCAAGGGAAACUUUCGGCAUGCAUCCCUCUCACAAGGAUUUUUAUUUGUCCGUCUGUCAGCAGACACAGAGGCCCUCUUCACCUACAGCAGACACAGAGGCCUCUUCACCUACAGCAGACACAGAGGCCCUCUUCACCUACAGCAGACACAGAGGCCCUCUUCACCUACAGCAGACACAGAGGCCCUCUUCACCUACAGCAGACACAGAGUCCCUCUUCACCUACAGCAGACGCGGACGCUAACCAGGUUAUACCUGAAUCGGAUGAUCAAUUUCUCAGCUAAGUUGAAAUCUACAGAUUGCGGGCAGAAGGGAGUGUGACAGCCUAAGGACCCUGCUGUCAGGGCAGAUUGAUGGAGCUCCUUAUUUGGAGAGACGGAGGACCCAUUUAUGAAGCUGUAAUUUUUCCUGUGAUAUCGACACUCUUUCCUGGACGCACUUAACCUCUGCCACUGGCUUCUCUCUCCAUUCAGCCAGAUAUCCUAUGCCCAUAAUGUCUUUAUCUUCCUUUUGUGUAAAUCAAAUCAAAUAUUAAAUAUCGUUAGAUCAGAGGGCUGGGAAUUGCCAGGGACCCCACAAUAUGAUAUUAUCACCAUACUUAGAUACUGAUACAAUAUGUAUUGCGAUUUUCACGAUUAUCACAAUUCUAUAUGUAUUUUACAUUUUUUAUUUCACCUUUAUUUAACCAGGUAGGCAAGUUGAGAACAAGUUCUCAUUUACAAUUGCGACCUGGCCAAGAUUGUAAUGCCCGGGGUGUAGUGGAGGAAGAAGUCAGGCGCAGGAAGCAGAGAGUUCAGGGUAGCGAUACUUUUAAUACACCACACCGGUGAAAACGACGCCAACACACUCAGCAAAACACACUCACACGGACAACUGUGACUUACAGUCGUGUACAAUAGUACACUGAAAAUAAUCCCACACAACCAGCAGGCGGGCCGGCUGGUAAGUAAAGCCCAACCAAUUAACCUAACUAAACACAGGUGCAACUAAUAAACAGACAAGGGGGAAAGAAGGAUCAGUGGCAGCUAGUAGGCCGGUGACGACGACCGCCGAGCGCCACCCGAACAGGAAGGGGAGCCACCUUCGGUAGGAGUCGUGACAAAGAUAAAGCAGAGCAGUUCGACACAUACAACAACACAGAGUUACACAUGGAGUAAAACAAACAUACAGUCAAUAACACAGUAGAAAAAUAAGUCUAUAUACAAUGUGAGCAAAUGAGGUGAGAUAAGGGAGGUAAAGGCAACAAAAAAAAGGCCAUGGUGGCGAAGUAAAUACAAUAUAGCAAGUAAAACACUGGAAUGGUAGUUUUGCAGUGGAAGAAUGUGCAAGGUAGAGAUAGAAAUAAUGGGGUGCAAAGGAGCAAAAUAAACACAUACAGUAGGUGGAGAGGUAGUUGUUUGGGCUAAAUUAUAGAUGGGCUAUGUACAGGUGCAGUAAUCUGUGAGCUGCUCUGACAGCUGGUGCUUAAAGCUAGUGAGGGAGAUAAGUGUUUCCAGUUUCAGAGAUUUUUGAAGUUUGUUCCAGUCACUGGCAGCAGAGAACUGGAAGGAGAGGCGGCCAAAAGAAGAAUUGGUUUUGGGGGUGACCAGAGAGAUAUACCUGCUGGAGCGCGUGCUACAGGUGGGUGCUGCUAUGGUGACCAGCGAGCUGAGAUAAGGGGGGACUUUACCUAGCAGGGUCUUGUAGAUGACCUGGAGCCAGUGGGUUUGGCGACGAGUAUGAAGAG
rnacentral:lncRNA from 13 species